UGCCAGCCGCCGCGGUAAGACAGAGGGUGCAAGCGUUAAUCGGAAUUACUGGGCGUAAAGCGCACGUAGGCGGGACGUUAAGUCAGCUGUGAAAGCCCUGGGCUUAACCUAGGAAUAGCAGUUGAUACUGGCGUUCUAGAGUAUGGUAGAGGAAGGUGGAAUUCCCGGUGUAGCAGUGAAAUGCGUAGAUAUCGGGAGGAACAUCAGUGGCGAAGGCGGCCUUCUGGGCCAAUACUGACGCUGAGGUGCGAAAGCGUGGGUAGCGAACAGGAUUAGAUA
rnacentral:rRNA from 1 species